CUUAAAUUACCUUUUCUAGAUUUCAUGUAAAACUUUUUAUCUUCCUCACUUAAUCAUCUCUUUCACAGGCACACUCUCCUACCUUCCAAGUGAUACUGCUCUGAGUUUCCCUCUAAAGUUAUAUUCUGUGUUUCUGUUUUGUCUUGCUUUUCCUGUAUAGAAGAUCCUUCCAAAGCAUAUGGCUUUAAGCAGCUGUCCCACUUUUGGAACAAGAAUGGCAAGAGAACUAUCUGAGAGGAAAUGUGCUAAGGGAUAAAACGAAUAUGUUUCUGCUGCUUUUCCUGAAGUUUCAUUCUUCAGUGUCUAUUUUUGUUUGUUGAUAUUACACAGAAAUUACUUGAACUGGAAAGAGCAAAAACUGCCAAGGAAGAAACUUGAAAACAGUUCCAAUAUAUUGGAGUCUCACACAGGAUACACUUUUGGUAUUUGUUACUGCUGAUCAACAAAUAAUACCAGCUCCUCUUCUGGAAUGUGUUUGCAUCAUACUCUGUAGUCUCCGAUGAGUAGAGUCAUGUGCCCACUUCUGUGGAAAGAAUUAUGGGUAAACAUAAAAGUCAACUUUAAUUGAUUCCUCCCUCUUUGCAAAAAAAAAAAAAAAGAAAAGAAAAGAAAAAAGAAUAUAGUAUUUGGGAAUAUGGCUGCUCAA